ACUACUACCUCUUUUGCAGCCAGUUUCUUCUUCCAAGUCCAUCAAUGUCUUCUAUUCCUCAAGUGAGUGUUUAUUUAUUAAAUUCUUUUUUUUCUUUUUGCGUUCUUUUUUUUUCUUUUUGCAUUCUUUUUUUCUUCUUUCUAUUCUUGUUUUGAUCUUUGUUGUUGAACUUGAUGAACAUUUAGUUUUUGCUUUUUCACUUGGCACUUGGUUUUGGUAGUAUGCUGCCAAUUCAUAUUUUCAAAGAAUGUUUUCCUAAUGAUCGUGUUUCAAACGAUUUGACCUUAAAAAUCUUUGGUUGCACUGCAUUUGUUCAUGAACAUAAGAAUAUUAGCAAACUCGAACCGCGUGCUAUAAAAUGUGUUUUUGUUG
rnacentral:lncRNA from 1 species